rnacentral:lncRNA from 1 species
GGAACUGCACCUCAUCUGAGACUGGGUGCGGUCAAUGAGAAAUCAAAUAUUUAUAUACUAAUCCUGCAGCCUGGCAACACAACGGAGGAACUUGUGAUGGUAGAGGAAAUGAAACUAGACGGCAUGGGAACAACAGAAACAUGAUGAACUAAUACUCAGGACUGGAUUGGAAGUACUGAGAGGAAUCACAUCAGCAGUUAUUUUCUGUUAAAGAGAUGUAACAUAUUUUCCCCAAAGAAACAAGAAAAUAUGAUUAGAAGAUGCAGUUCUUUCAAGGCCCAUCUAGAAGACAGUAAUACUUCGCUUUUUCCAACCUUGCUGCUGAUGCUGGUGAUACCAUCAGUGUGAAUUUCAGAUCAGCAGAUACAAUUAAUGAUGGACUGAAAAUCAGUAUCUACAUAUCAAGACCCAGGAGCAAUACAUUAUGCAUCCAGUUCGCACCAAGAGAUGUUGAAAUAAUGCCUAAGGUACUAUAAACUAGUCUGAAAGAGAAAUACAAAGCCUUGAAAUCAAGCAUGUAAAUAGAGAUUAUUGUCACUGAUACUGUUUGAUGAGUUCAAAUUGAUACAUCCUAACAUUCCUUAGAGUCCUUCUCCAAAAAUUACUGAAGAAAAUGUUAUGCAUUAGCUCUUGUUUUAUUACUGUUAAUAUGUUCUUUAAAAUCACUUCGCUUUAUUGAAAGCAGAGGAUGUAAUUGCUCCAAUGACUAAACUUGUAACUUGAUUAAAUUUUCUGGGAAAUGAAUGUGUAAACAUAAUUGAUAAGAACAAUUUA